rnacentral:rRNA from 1 species
AAUCAACGCUGGCGGCGUGCCUCAGACAUGCAGGUCGAACGCGAAAGUCCCCUUCGGGGGGACAAGUAGAGUGGCGCACGGGUGAGUAACACGUAGGUAAUCUACCUUUGGAUGGGGAAUAACAACCGGAAACGGUUGCUAAUACCGCAUAAUGCAGCGGCACCUAAUGGUGACAGUUGUUAAAGCGGGGGAUCGAAAGACCUCGCGUCUAAAGAGGAGCCUGCGGCGGAUUAGCUAGUUGGAAGGUAAUGGCUUACCAAGGCUACGAUCCGUAACCGGCCUGAGAGGGCGGUCGGGUCACACUGACACUGACAUACGGGUCAGACUCCUACGGGAGGCAGCAGUCGGGAAUUUUGGGCAAUGGGCGCAAGCCUGACCCAGCAACGCCGCGUGAAGGA